CUGACUGCCAGUGGCAAAGGAUCUCUUUCUGGAGAUCCCUCCUUUGGAGUUUUACAGCAAGCCUGGGAUGCGGCUCGCUAUUUGGUCCAGAAGAUGUGGAGCAAGUACCAAAUUAUGAAAGGAGUUGAAUGGCCAAGUGCAGCUUCUCUUAUUAUGGUGAAGAUUAAAGAAAAACUAAAUAUGAGGAUAAAAAACUUGACUUCUGAGCAACAGUUAAAGCCAAUUCAUCUCUUAGGAGUCAAAAACAAAUUCAUCCCCAGUUUGUGAAUCUGUGACGCUCUGGAAUAUUAAAAAUAGUGGCAGAACAUAUCGGCGAGAUUCUGUGAUUUCCUGGAUCAGUGUUACUGGACCAAACCCAUUUUCAGAAGAGAUUUUCCUUUUAGAGAUGGCAAUCUAUGUGUAACAGGACUUCAAAUGGCUUUCAUUAUCAGCUAUCUGAGAAUGAAGGUAGUAAAAAGGGACACUGCGUCUCAUGGGUAUAACAAGUUAUAUUGAUCAGCUGGCAAUUCUUGGAAUGGGUUACAUGUGUUUUAAAUGUCUUUUGGAAAUCAGAGAUGAUAGUGCCAUUCAAAGUGGUUUUCUAACAAGUAAUCUUUAUGUUGCUUUGUUGGUUUGUCUGUUUGUAACUGAUAAAUUAAAGGCUAAUAGAGGAAAAAGGCAAAGAAAAAGAGAUGUGAAGAUAACUGACCAUGUGGAAAACUCAUUAAAUGAUGAUGCUUGAGCUUUUAUUAAUUUCUGUUUGUAGACAAUUUGAAGACUAAAAUACUCUUGGAAGAAUUAGUUCUGCAAAAAGUUUGUUCUUUUAAUUCUCAUUUCUAUGACCUUCU